AUUCAAUAAGCUGUAGUAGGGGUGAAUUUUAUAAGGCAUGUUAUAGGCAAACUAUAAACUCAUGAAGCAAUGCAGCUUACCGAAGUGAUGUAUUUGUCUGAAAUUUGUCAUUUAAAAAAAAAACUAGUUUUUAACUUUGCUGGAGACUGCUCUCAGUUUGGUUAUUUUGAUCUGAAAAUCCCUUUGUCUAUUCACCACAAUGCCUAGUUUAGUUUAAAAAUUCAAUGAUCUUUCCAAGAAUUGUUUAUCGUUUAUUUCACAGCUCUUUUAAUGGCAUACAAAUAUAUUUUUUUAAAAAUUGUCAUAAUAGCUAUUAUAUAUUGUUAUUCUUUUUUUUCCGUAGGUAAUGCAGUUUGGAAGAAUUGAUGGCAAUGCAUACAUUUUGGACUUUCAGUAUCCGUUUUCAGCCGUCCAAGCCUUUGCAGUUGCUCUGGCCAACGUGACACAACGUCUCAAAUGAGUCGGUGACUGAACAUGAACAUUUCAGAUAUGAUUUGGACAGGCACGAAAGCAAAGUUGUGUUAGUAUAGAUCAUGGAAGAAGAUAAGCAUUUACACACGUAAACUGGAAAAGAAGUAAAAUUUCCUAUGUGCAGACUGAUUUUUAUUUUUUACAUGCAAUAUUGCUGAUGUUUUGAGCGGAGAACCAAUUAUUGUUAUGGUGGAAGUGUGGCUUUUGGCUUCUAUUGAUGGUCCUGUUCUGUUGUUUGGUGAAGUCGAUGUUAGAAUAUUACAUGAAAAACUGCCUUAUUUAUAAUAAUAUAUUUAAAACAAAAACGUGACCUAUUUGGGUCUUUGAACUUUGGUUUCUUUUUUUUUUCAGUUUGUAGGAUCACGAUUUUAAAAAUGUGCAACUAAACUAUGAGAUUUUCUAAUACUUGAAUGCAUUAUUGUUAUUUUUUAAGUGGACAUCGAAGGCUGUACAAAUAAUUUUUUAAAGUAGCUUUUUAUGUUAUAGAACUUUUUAGAUAUUUUUUAAGAUGUUAUGUUUUCUUUAACCCUUGUUAGCUGAUGACUGCAUUUUAUGGUCAAAAUUUAGAUAAAAUAUCUAUGCCUAAAGGAAAAAAAUGGCUAAGAUGUUAAAUUUAAAUUGUUUACUUCUAAAGAGUUAAUAGGGUAAUUUUAAGGCACUGAAAUGAGCAAAAUUGGUAACACCAUCUUUAUAAAAUAAAGGCUUAGCAAAAGAAUUGAAACCUAAAAUUUGUUUAGAGGCAAGAAUAUGCCAUCUACAUAUUGCACAUUAAUUGCAAUGGCUGAAUUUUUCUUAAGUCUGUUUUUUGCAGAGCCUAUCAAGGCUCUUCUUUAAAAGGUUGGACUUUACAUGCUGCAUGGGCACAAAAAUCUACACUAAGAUAAUUUUUGAUCCACAUUAGAUACCCGUAAACAUGGUAUUGUUAUUUACCUCUCUACCAAAACUCUGCUUUGUUAAAUUGAAAAAUGGUGGUAAAGUGCUGAAAAGCCAUUCUAGUGCAUUUUCUGCUCAUCAGAUGUGCCCUUUAUUUUAUUUUUUAUAUUAUGUACUAUUUUGAGCUAUGUAAAUUAUUGUUGGGAGCAUGUAUUUUUUCCAAUUAUAACUAAAAUUUGAAAGGCCCAUGUCUGUUAUCUGAUAAAUAGUUUCAAAUGCAGAAAUGUUUUGCUUUUUGGAGGUAGUACAACUUUCAGUGCUUACAAAAGCAGCAUAAAGAAAUUACCUAUUUGAUGUUAAACCUACACUGUAAGAGGGGCCUUUUUAUGAAUUACUGCGUUGUGUGGGGCAGUUCCCAAAGCAGUGAUCUGGCUAACUGAGGGGUAUUUUCAGACAUAAGUCUAAGGUGAAUUAGAUACAUAAAAUACAUUUGACUGCUCAGUGAUCAGUGACAUCUUAGUUUGGAGGUAUUUAUUAUCUGGAUAUAUUACAACUUCCACGCUCAUUACAAAAAUGUCCAUAUUUUUGUAUGUUAUGUCAAUAUGGAACAUACAAAACCUAAAUUCAUUAAAAUGUUGUGCCUAAUAAAUUAUUGUAUUUUCCCCUUGCUUUAUCAAAAUGAAAUCAAACAUGCUGGCAAGAUGUCUAUUUUAGAAAGGUUUUCAUGUAUUCUGAGCUCUCCAGACUAGAAUUACAUACUAGUAAAACACGUUAAUUAAUAACAGAUUUGAAUGAAAUCUGUUUCUUAGUUGGGGUAUCAAUAUGACCAUACAUUCAAUAUGAUCCUUGUAAAACUUGCUUCCCUAACUCAGUCAACAUUCCAUUUUGUGUAAGAGGGACUGUCACUUCUUAAUGUGGCAUUACUUAUCUCCCUCAAGCCACACAAACCUCCUCCUGCCGCAUGGUCUCACCGAACCACGCGGCAGGAUAUUUAUAAAUAGAUGUGGGCAUGAUGUCAUGCCCAGUUUUAAAGUGACCAUCAUUGCGUCCCUAAUCUUUUUGGGGUCAAAGUGAUAACGGGGACCUAUCAGAAGAUAGGUAAGCCUAUUUAAGGCUUGUUUUAGCCCCCAUUCAUUGCC